AGAACGAACGCUGGCGGCAUGCCUAACACAUGCAAGUCGAACGAGAUCCUUCGGGAUCUAGUGGCGCACGGGUGCGUAACGCGUGGGAACCUGCCCCUCGGUUCGGAAUAACACAGAGAAAUUUGUGCUAAUACCGAAUGAUGACUUCGGUCCAAAGAUUUAUCGCCGAGGGAUGGGCCCGCGUAGGAUUAGCUUGUUGGUGGGGUAAUGGCCUACCAAGGCAACGAUCCUUAGCUGGUCUGAGAGGAUGAUCAGCCACACUGGGACUGAGACACGGCCCAGACUCCUACGGGAGGCAGCAGUGGGAAUAUUGCACAAUGGGCGCAAGCCUGAUGCAGCGACGCCGCGUGAGGGAUGACGGCCUUCGGGUUGUAAACCUCUUUCAGCAGGGGAGAAGCCGUCGUUCGGGGUGACGGUACCUGCAGAGAGCACCGGCUACUACGUGCCAGCAGCCGCGGUAA
rnacentral:rRNA from 1 species